CGGGGGAGCAAGCGUUGUUCGGAUUUACUGGGCGUAAAGGGCGCGUAGGCGGCCAGCGCAAGUCAGUUGUGAAAUCUCCGGGCUUAACUCGGAAAGGUCAACUGAUACUGCGCGGCUAGAGUGCAGAAGGGGCAACUGGAAUUCUCGGUGUAGCGGUGAAAUGCGUAGAUAUCGAGAGGAACACCUGCGGCGAAGGCGGGUUGCUGGGCUGACACUGACGCUGAGUGCGCGAAAGCCAGGGGAGCGAACGGGAUUAGAUACCCCGGUAGUCCUGGCCUUAAACGAUGGAUGCUUGGUGUCUGGAGUUUUAUAGUCUCCGGGUGCCGUAGCUAACGCGUUAAGCAUCCCGCCUGGGGAGUACGGUCGCAAGACUG
rnacentral:rRNA from 1 species